GCAUAUCAAAAAGCGGAGGAAAAGAAACUAACAAGGAUUCCCCUAGUAACUGCGAGUGAAGCGGGAAAAGCUCAAAUUUAAAAUCUGGCGGCUUUGGUCGUCCGAGUUGUAUUCUAGAGAAGUGUUUUCCGCGUUGGACCGUGUAUAAGUCUCUUGGAAUAGAGCGUCAUAGAGGGUGAGAAUCCCGUCUUUGACACGGACUACCAAUGCUUUGUGAUACACUCUCAAAGAGUCGAGUUGUUUGGGAAUGCAGCUCAAAAUGGGUGGUAAAUUCCAUCUAAAGCUAAAUAUUGGCGAGAGACCGAUAGCGAACAAGUACCGUGAGGGAAAGAUGAAAAGCACUUUGGAAAGAGAGUUAAACAGUACGUGAAAUUGCUGAAAGGGAAACGCUUGAAGUCAGUCGCGUUAGCUAGAACUCAACCAGGCUUGCUUGGCGUAUUUUCUAGUUAACGGGCCAGCAUCAGUUUUGACCGCAGGAAAAGGGCCAGGGAAAUGUGGCAUCUUCGGAUGUGUUAUAGUCUCUGGUCGUAUACUGUGAUUGGGACUGAGGACCGCAGCACGCGCAAGCUGUGCUUAGGAUGCUGGCGUAAUGGCUUUAAACGACCCGUCUUGAAACACGGACAAAAGGAGUCA
rnacentral:rRNA from 1 species